rnacentral:pre_miRNA from 1 species
CAUAAGUUUUCCAUAAAUUUCCGUAUCCAACUUUAACCGUCCGUCUUAUUUAAAAUUUAUUAUUAUUAUUAUUAUUAUUAUAAGACAUAAAUAAUAUUUUAUGCGUGACUUAUAUUUUUUUAAUUUUAUUUUUUUAAAUAAGACGAACGAUUAAAGUUGGACANNNNNNNN